AUAAUAACGAGGGGGCUUCUGGAGGGAGGCGGCAGCGACGGAGGAGGGGGCUUCUCAGAGAGGGAGGGAGGGAGCCACCCGGGUGAAGAUACAGCAGCCUCCUGAGCUCCCCCCUCCCACCCAGGCCGGGACCUGGGGGCUCCUGCCGGAUCCAUGGGGGCGGCCAGCUGCGAGGAUGAGGAGCUGGAAUUUAAGCUGGUGUUCGGGGAGGAAAAGGAGGCCCCCCGCUGGGCGCGGGGGGAUUGGGGGAAGAACUGGACUCAGAGGAUGCCCCGCCAUGCUGCCGUCUGGCCUUGGGAGAGCCCCCACCCUAUGGCGCUGCACCUAUCGGUAUUCCCCGACCUCCACCCCCUCGGCCUGGCAUGCAUUCGCCACCGCCGCGCCCAGCCCCCUCACCUGGCACCUGGGAGAGCCAGCCCGCCAGGACCUCUGCCCUACCCCCACUGGACUGGCCUCUGCCCAGCCAAUAUGAGCAGCUGGAGCUGAGGAUCGAGGUGCAGCCUAGAGCCCACCAUCGGGCCCACUAUGAGACAGAAGGCAGCCGUGGAGCUGUCAAAGCUGCCCCUGGCGGUCAUCCUGUAGUCAAGCUCUUAGGCUACAGUGAGAAGCCACUGACCCUACAGAUGUUCAUCGGCACUGCAGAUGAAAGGAACCUGCGGCCUCAUGCCUUCUAUCAGGUGCACCGUAUCACAGGCAAGAUGGUGGCCACGGCCAGCUAUGAAGCCGUAGUCAGUGGCACCAAGGUGUUGGAGAUGACUCUGCUGCCUGAGAACAACAUGGCGGCCAACAUUGACUGCGCGGGAAUCCUGAAGCUUCGGAAUUCAGACAUUGAGCUUCGGAAGGGUGAGACGGACAUCGGGCGCAAAAACACACGUGUACGGCUGGUGUUCCGGGUACACGUGCCCCAGGGCGGCGGGAAAGUCGUCUCAGUACAGGCAGCAUCGGUGCCCAUCGAGUGCUGUGAGCAAAGAGGCCCUGGGCCAUCUCUCUGUCUCUUGCAACUCUUUUGUCUGUGUGUGUGUGUCUGCCUGCCCAUUCCCUCUGCAGCGUCAUGUGCCCUGUCUGUCCUGGGUAGCUCUAUAGAGGACUCAGCUUCUUUCUAUUCUAGUUUGCCCCUGCCACAGACUCUGUCUCUGGGGUGGCCCAGAGUGACACUGGACCCUAUCUAUUCCUGGGGUGCCCUGUGCCCUUGUUUGGGAAACUCCCUGGUCUACCCUGUUUAACCCUCUCUCCACUCUGGGAGUGGCCCCUUACAUGGUGUGUGUGACUCCAUGGAUAUUACUGGUUUAUUUGUGUGUCUACUGCUGAGGAGGGCUCCCUCAGAGCCCUGUGGCAGUUUUCCCAAAGAGGGUGGGGACAGAGGAGGCCACCCCUCCAUGCCCAGCCCAGCCAGUCCUCUUCCUUGCACUGCUCUGCAGCCCAGCGCUCAGCCCAGGAGCUGCCCCAGGUGGAGGCCUACAGCCCCAGUGCCUGCUCUGUGAGAGGAGGCGAGGAACUGGUACUGACUGGCUCCAACUUCCUGCCAGACUCCAAGGUGGUGUUCAUUGAGAGGGGUCCUGGUGAGUACCUGCUGGGGAGGGGAGGGCAGGCAGGGAGAGCUUGGGAGUGGCAGGUGAAACAUCUCUGGCAUUGUCACUAAAUUAGCCAGUGGAGCCUCAGUUUUUUUAUUUGUAAAAUGGGACAGACAGACUACCCUUUCUAUUAUACUGUCUGCUUUCCGUGUGGGAUGGGUACGACAGCAAUCUAAAAUGUUGAGGAUGCUGAACAAAUGGAAGCAAUGCACAUUCUGUCUAAUAAAGA
rnacentral:sRNA from 1 species